UGGUGGAGUGAUUUGUCUGGCUAAUCCCGAUAACGAACGAGACCUUGACCUGCUAACUAGUCACUGUAAGUGCUUUUGUGCUUGCAGGCUGAUCUUCUUAGAGGGACAAUCUGUGUUUCCAGCAGAUGGAGGUGCGAGGCAAUAACA
rnacentral:rRNA from 1 species